rnacentral:rRNA from 1 species
GAGCGGCGGACGGGUGAGUAAGGUAUGGGGAUCUGGCCGACAGGGGAUAACCACUGGAAACGGUGGCUAAUACCGCAUAAUCUCUAAGGAGCAAAGUGGGGACUUUCGGGCCUCACACCUUCGGAUGAACCCAUAUGAGAUUAGCUAGUAGGUGGGGUAAAGGCUCACCUAGGCUACGAUCUCUAGCAUGGGUCUGAGAGGAUGGUCAGCCACACUGGGACUGAGACACGGCCCAGACUCCUAGGGGAGGCAGCAGUGGGGAAUAUUGCACAAUGGGCGCAACGGUAUGCAGCCAUGCCGCGUGUAUGAAGAAGGCCUUCGGGUUGUAAAGUACUUUCAGUCGUGAGGAAGGUGUUAGGGUUAAUAGUCUUAGCAAUUGACAUUAGCGACAGAAGAAGCACCGGCUAACUCCGUGCCAGCAGCCGCGUAAUACGGAGGGUGCGAGCGUUAAUCGGAAUUACUGGGAGUAAAGGGCACGCAGGCGGUUAGUUAAGUUGGAUGUGAAAUCCCCGGGCUUAACCUGGGAAUGGCAUUCAAGACUGGUUAGCUAGAGUCUUGUAGAGGGGGGUAGAAUUCCAUGUGUAGCGGUGAAAUGCGUAGAGAUGUGGAGGAAUACCGGUGGCGAAAGGCGGCCCCCUGGAUAAAAGACUGACGCUCAUUUGCGAAAGCGUGGGGAGCAAACAGGAUUAGAUACCCUGGUAGUCCACGCUGUAAACGAUGUCGAUUUGGAGGUUGUGGUCCUGAACUGUGGCUCCGGACUGAACGCGUUAAAUNGCCGGCCUGGGGAGUACGGCCGCAAGGUUAAAACUCAAAUGAAUUGGACGGGNNNCCACAAGCGGUGGAGCAUGUGGUUUAAUUCGAUGCAACGCGAAGAACCUUACCUACUCUUGACAUCCAGAGAAUCCUUUAGAGACAGAGGAGUGCUUCGGGAACUUUGAGACAGGUGCUGCAUGGCUGUCGUCAGCUCGUGUUGUGAAAUGUUGGGUUAAGUCCCGCAACGAGCGCAACCCUUAUCCUUUGUUGCCAUCGAUUCGGUCGGGAACUCAAAGGAGACUGCCGGUGAUAAACCGGAGGAAGGUGGGGAUGACGUCAAGUCAUCAUGGCCCUUACGAGUAGGGCUACACACGUGCUACAUGGCGUAUACAGAGAGAGGCGAGCCUGCGAGGGGAAGCGGAACUCAGAAAGUACGUCGAAGUUCGGAUUGGAGUCUGCAACUCGACUCCAUGAAGUCGGAAUCGCUAGUAAUCGCGGACCAGCAUGUCGCGGUGAAUACGUUCCCGGGCCUUGUACACACCGCCCGUCACACCAUGGGAGUGGGUUGCAAAAGAAGUAGGUAGCUUAACUUCGGGAUGGCGGCUUACCACUUUGUGAUUCAUGACUGGGGUGAAGUCGUAACAAGGUAACCGU